GACGAACGCUGGCGGCGUGCUUAACACAUGCAAGUCGAACGGAGAUUCAGCAAUGGAUCUUAGUGGCGAACGGGUGAGUAACGCGUAGGCAAUCUGCCUUCUAGAUGGGGACAACGUCCCGAAAGGGGUGCUAAUACCGAAUGUUGUAGUUGGUUCGAAUGGCAUAGCUACUAAAGGUGGCCUCUGAAUAUGCUACCGCUAGACGAUGAGCCUGCGUCUGAUUAGCUCGUUGGAGGGGUAACGGCCCACCAAGGCUUCGAUCAGUAGCCGGUCUGAGAGGAUGAACGGCCACACUGGGACUGAGACACGGCCCAGACUCCUACGGGAGGCAGCAGUGGGGAAUCUUCCGCAAUGGACGAAAGUCUGACGGAGCAACGCCGCGUGAGUGAAGAAGGUUUUCGGACCGUAAAGCUCUUUCGUUAGGGACGAACGUGCUCUUUGUGAAUAAUGAGGAGUAAUGACGGUACCUAAAUAAGAAGCCACGGCUAACUACGUGCCAGCCGCCGCGGUAA
rnacentral:rRNA from 1 species